UCAGGACGAACGCUGGCGGCGUGCUUAACACAUGCAAGUCGAGCGGAAAGGCCCUUCGGGGUACUCGAGCGGCGAACGGGUGAGUAACACGUGAGCAACCUGCCCCAGGCUUUGGGAUAACCCCGGGAAACCGGGGCUAAUACCGAAUAUGACCUUGCACCGCAUGGUGUUUGGUGGAAAGUUUUUCGGCUUGGGAUGGGCUCGCGGCCUAUCAGCUUGUUGGUGGGGUGAUGGCCUACCAAGGCGACGACGGGUAGCCGGCCUGAGAGGGCGACCGGCCACACUGGGACUGAGACACGGCCCAGACUCCUACGGGAGGCAGCAGUGGGGAAUAUUGCACAAUGGGCGGAAGCCUGAUGCAGCGACGCCGCGUGAGGGAUGACGGCCUUCGGGUUGUAAACCUCUUUCAGCAGGGACGAAGCGUAAGUGACGGUACC
rnacentral:rRNA from 1 species